AGAGUUUGAUCCUGGCUCAGCCUGAACGCUGGCGGCGUGGCUAAGACAUGCAAGUCGCACGGGCGUAGCAAUACGCCAGUGGCGAACGGGUGAGUAAUGAAUCGCUAAUGUACCCCGGACUCUGGGAUAGCUGACCGAAAGGGCAGGUAAUACCAGAUGACAUAACCGAACCGCAUGGUUUGGUUCUCAAAGGUCCGCCGGUCUGGGAGCAGGCGAUUUUGUAUCAGCUAGUUGGUGAGGUAAUGGCUCACCAAGGCGACGACGCAUAGCCGGACUGAGAGGUUGGCCGGCCACAUUGGGACUGAGACACUGCCCAGACUCCUACGGGGGGCUGCAGUAACGAAUCUUCCGCAAUGCACGAAAGUGUGACGGAGCGACGCCGCGUGUGGGACGAAGUCCUUCGGGAUGUAAACCACUGUCAGGGGUAAGAAAGUUCUGAUCUACCCCAGAGGAAGGCACGGCUAACUCUGUGCCAGCAGCCGCGGUAAGACAGAGGUGCCGAGCGUUAGGCGGAAUCACUGGGCUUAAAGCGUGUGUAGGCGGACUUGUAAGUACCUUGUGAAAUCCCACAGCUCAACUGUGGAACUGCUUGGUAUACUGCUUGUCUUGAGCCACUUAGGGGCAGUCGGAACAGACGGUGGAGCGGUGAAAUGCGUAGAUAUCGUUUGGAACGCCAACGGUGAAAACAGCUCGCUGGGGGUGUGCUGACGCUGAGACACGAAAGCCCGGGGAGCGAACGGGAUAAAUACCCCGGUAGUCCUGGCCCUAAACGAUGUCGACUAGAUCGUAGUGCCUCUGAACGUAUA
rnacentral:rRNA from 1 species